AGAGUUUGAUCCUGGCUCAGAUUGAACGCUGGCGGCAUGCCUUACACAUGCAAGUCAAACGGUAACGCGGGGCAACCUGGCGACGAGUGGCGAACGGGUGAGUAAUGCAUCGGAACGUGCCCAGUAGUGGGGGAUAGCCCGGCGAAAGCCGGAUUAAUACCGCAUACGACCUACGGGUGAAAGGGGGGGAUCGCAAGACCUCUCGCUAUUGGAGCGGCCGAUGUCAGAUUAGGUAGUUGGUGGGGUAAAGGCCUACCAAGCCGACGAUCUGUAGCUGGUCUGAGAGGACGACCAGCCACACUGGGACUGAGACACGGCCCAGACUCCUACGGGAGGCAGCAGUGGGGAAUUUUGGACAAUGGGGGCAACCCUGAUCCAGCCAUUCCGCGUGAGUGAAGAAGGCCUUCGGGUUGUAAAGCUCUUUCGGCAGGAACGAAACGGUCGUCUCUAACAUAGAUGGCUAAUGACGGUACCUGAAGAAGAAGCACCGGCUAACUACGUGCCAGCAGCCGCGGUAAUACGUAGGGUGCGAGCGUUAAUCGGAAUUACUGGGCGUAAAGCGUGCGCAGGCGGUUUUGUAAGACAGAUGUGAAAUCCCCGGGCUUAACCUGGGAACUGCGUUUGUGACUGCAAGACUUGAGUGCGGCAGAGGGGGGUGGAAUUCCACGUGUAGCAGUGAAAUGCGUAGAGAUGUGGAGGAACACCGAUGGCGAAGGCAGCCCCCUGGGUCGACACUGACGCUCAUGCACGAAAGCGUGGGUAGCAAACAGGAUUAGAUACCCUGGUAGUCCACGCCCUAAACGAUGCGAACUAGGUGUUGGAGAAGGAGACUUCUUUAGUACCGCAGCUAACGCGUGAAGUUCGCCGCCUGGGGAGUACGGUCGCAAGAUUAAAACUCAAAGGAAUUGAUGG
rnacentral:rRNA from 1 species